rnacentral:lncRNA from 1 species
AAUGAAAUUCUUAAUAAUUGGCGUACAAAGAAAAAAGUAAAGCGAAAAGAAAUUCAAACUUUGACAUCAACUAUCAAGAUAAACAUACCAUACAGUAAUGAUCUUCCUUCCAAAUCUUCAAAAAGCACUGUAAGUUAUAAAGAAGCAAAUGAAUUAUUCAAAAUUAAAAUUAACUCAAAUUCUUCGCACAAUCCGAUAGAACAGCAAGUUCACGAGCAUGUUAAAAAAUUAAAACUCAGUAAUCAAAAUGCAUGUUUACUUGAUGCUAAUGAAGCAUUGAAGCGUGCAGAAGAUAACCUAAAUGAGGUUUUGAAUCUUCAAAAAGAACUAGAAAAAAACCGCUCGUUAGAUUACAGAUUUAAAGCUUUUUUUACCUGAUCUCAAGGGAUUACCAUUUGUAUUUUUAUGUGAUUAUUAAAAUGUGUAUACAAGUAGCUUGAAGAUAAAGUGUAUGAAAUUUGUGUGUGUA